rnacentral:rRNA from 1 species
UGGGGAAUAUUGCACAAUGGGCGCAAGCCUGAUGCAGCCAUGCCGCGUGUGUGAAGAAGGCCUUCGGGUUGUAAAGCACUUUCAGCGGGGAGGAAGGCGGUGAGGUUAAUAACCUUAUCAAUUGACGUUACCGACAGAAGAAGCACCGGCUAACUCCGUGCCAGCAGCCGCGGUAAUACGGAGGGUGCAAGCGUUAAUCGGAAUUACUGGGCGUAAAGCGCACGCAGGCGGUUGAUUGAGUCAGAUGUGAAAUCCCCGGGCUUAACCCGGGAGUUGCAUCUGAUACUGGUCAGCUAGAGUCUUGUAGAGGGGGGUAGAAUUCCAUGUGUAGCGGUGAAAUGCGUAGAGAUGUGGAGGAAUACCGGUGGCGAAGGCGGCCCCCUGGACAAAGACUGACGCUCAGGUGCGAAAGCGUGGGGAGCAAACAGG